rnacentral:rRNA from 1 species
ACGUGGACCCACAGCAGGAGGCCCUGAGGCCUGGAGAUCUGGACCUGGAGAAGGUGAAGGUGGCCACCUGGAGCCCGGAUGGACAGCUGCUGGCCUUCGUGGACCCGGGCGAAGGGG